rnacentral:lncRNA from 1 species
GGUUGUCCAUUAAGAAACAUUUCACGUCUAAGGUGACUGGUAAGUGCUGGGCUCAAUUGCUGACUGAAGAUGUGAAGACAAUUAGACAAGCAUCCAUCACAAGAGGUUAAUAUACAGCAGAUUAUUUUGAGAAAAGAUUAUGGAAUAGAUUUCAUGAAGUUGCUUUUUGUUGUUUUCCAUCUUUUUCAGAAUCUUUGCUGGUGAAACUAUAUUUUGCGAGGUAAAGUUCUAACAGCUUUGCAGGAGCCUCCAAGAGUUUUUGUCAGCUGUACAGAGGGGAUGAGGCUCCUCCUAAAGGUGAUAUCGCUGCUCUGCAUGGCUAUGUAGAAGAUGGGAAAUUUUUUUUUGAACUGAUUAAAAUCCUCUGAAAUUUGCUGGAAAUUGUUCUGUGGCCAGCAAAGAUCCCGAUGUUAAAAGCUCUGUUUGAACUAAAAACGAACCUUUCACUGCAGGGGAUUAUCUGGACCAGAAAAAACCUGUUCUUUAUUCUGAGAUUUAAUGGAUUAAAUAGUGCAGGGAUGGAGUGCAUCUGAAAAAAACAUCUCCAGUGCUUUUCUCCUAAACUUUGGAAACUGAUUGUCACUUUGAAUUUGAUUGUGAGAGGUGGAUGGAGACACAAACACUGAGAAAUUUUAAAUCCAUUUUUGUCUUUUGUGAGCCUUUGUAUUAAUAAUUUGUAGAAAAGAAAUUUAUUCCAGACUCAAUUUUUAUCUAUCAUACCUAUACAUUUAUAUGCAUUUAUAAAUAGAAUACUAUUGUUCCAGCAUUAAAUUAAUAUUGAAAUAUAAGACUGUAUUAAGUAAAUGAAUAGUAUUUUUUCCCAGAUUGUAUUGUCACAUAUCCAUUAGCACUGAUUUUGAUAGUAAGUGCUUGGAGGAGGAAAACACUCCUGUUUGGAGCUGAUGAAUGUUCCACGUUGCAAAACGGGCAUUGCUGAAUGAAAGGAGGCUUUCCCCUCUGUGACCAGAUAGAA